AGACAAUACACUCAAUACAACACCAAUACUCUGCUUCAAACUCUGCAACUUCUGAUUUCUAUUACAAUAAGAAAUUUUUUGAGGUAUAUAAGAAUUAAGAAGGAAGACUAUUUCAACGGUAUUACUCUGUUGAUUCUGGUCUGCUACAAGCUUGAA